rnacentral:rRNA from 1 species
AGCAGUCGCCACGGUAAUACGUAGGGUGCAAGCGUUAAUCGGAAUUACUGGGCGUAAAGCGUGCGCAGGCGGUUAUAUAAGACAGAUGUGAAAUCCCCGGGCUCAACCUGGGAACUGCAUUUGUGACUGUAUAGCUAGAGUACGGCAGAGGGGGAUGGAAUUCCGCGUGUAGCAGUGAAAUGCGUAGAUAUGCGGAGGAACACCGAUGGCGAAGGCAAUCCCCUGGGCCUGUACUGACGCUCAUGCACGAAAGCGUGGGGAGCAAACAGGAUUAGAUACCCCUGUAGUCCCUGUCUCUUAUAC